rnacentral:rRNA from 1 species
AUUGAACGCUGGCGGCAGGCUUAACACAUGCAAGUCGAGCGGGGAAAGGUAGCUUGCUACCUGACCUAGCGGCGGACGGGUGAGUAAUGCUUAGGAAUCUGCCUAUUAGUGGGGGACAACAUCUCGAAAGGGAUGCUAAUACCGCAUACGUCCUACGGGAGAAAGCAGGGGACCUUCGGGCCUUGCGCUAAUAGAUGAGCCUAAGUCGGAUUAGCUAGUUGGUGGGGUAAAGGCCUACCAAGGCGACGAUCUGUAGCGGGUCUGAGAGGAUGAUCCGCCACACUGGGACUGAGACACGGCCCAGACUCCUACGGGAGGCAGCAGUGGGGAAUAUUAGACAAUGGGGGGAACCCUGGUCCAGCCAUGCCGCGUGUGUGAAGAAGGCCUUUUGGUUGUAAAGCACUUUAAGCGAGGAGGAGGCUACCGAGAUUAAUACUCUUGGAUAGUGGACGUUACUCGCAGAAUAAGCACCGGCUAACUCUGUGCCAGCCGCCGCAGUAA